rnacentral:rRNA from 1 species
GGUUAAGUUAACAAGGGCGCAUGGUGAAUGCCUUGGCACUAGGAGCCGAUGAAGGACGGGACUAACACCGAUAUGCUUCGGGGAGCUGUACGUAAGCUAUGAUCCGGAGAUUUCCGAAUGGGGCAACCCAGCAGUUUUAAUCAACUGUUACCACUAGAUGAAUUCAUAGUCUAGUUGGAGGUGAACGCUGUGAACUGAAACAUCUCAUUAGCAGCAGGAAUAUAAAGAAAUUUCGAUUCCCUAAGUAGCGGCGAGCGAACGGGGAACAGCCCAAACCAAAGUGCUUGCACUUUGGGGUUGUAGGACUGAACAUUUGAGUUACCAAAGAACUUGAUAGUCGAAGGAUUUGGGAAAAUCCGCCAUAGAUGGUGAUAGCCCAGUAGAUUAAAUCAAAUUCUCUCAGUUCAGGAUCCUGAGUACGGCGGAACACGUGAAAUUCCGUCGGAAUCCGGGAGGACCAUCUCCCAAGGCUAAAUACUACCUAGUGACCGAUAGUGAACCAGUACCGUGAGGGAAAGGGUGAAAAGCACCCCGGGAGGGGAGUGAAAUAGUUCCUGAAACCAUGUGCCUACAAUAAGUCAGAGCGCGUUAAUGCGUGAUGGCGUGCCUUUUGUAGAAUGAACCGGCGAGUUAUGAUCCCGUGCAAGGUUAAGACUAAAAAGUCGGAGCCGUAGCGAAAGCGAGUCUGAAAUGGGCGUUUUGAGUACGAGGUUAUAGACCCGAAACCAGGUGACCUAUCCAUGUCCAGGUUGAAGGUGCGGUAAAACGCACUGGAGGACCGAACCCGUGUAAGUUGAAAAUUGCUGGGAUGAGGUGUGGAUAGCGGUGAAAUUCCAAACGAACUUGGAGAUAGCUGGUUCUCUCCGAAAUAGCUUUAGGGCUAGCCUCGGAAUUAGGAUCAUGGAGGUAGAGCACUAUUUGGACUAGGGGCCCGUCUUGGGUUACUGAAUUCAGAUAAACUCCGAAUGCCAUUGAUUCAUAUCCGGGAGUCAGACGAUGAGUGAUAAGAUCCACCGUCGAAAGGGGAACAGCCCAGACCAUCAGUUAAGGUCCCUAAAUGUAUGCUAAGUGGAAAAGGAUGUGGAGUUGCAUAGACAACUAGGAUGUUGGCUCAGAAGCAGCCACCAUUUAAAGAGUGCGUAAUAGCUCACUAGUCGAGUGAUCCUGCGCCGAAAAUGUACCGGGGCUAAGCAUACUACCGAAACCAUGGAUGCGACCAUUAGGUCGCGUGAUAGGAGAGCGUUCUAAGGGCGGUGAAGCAAGAUCGUGAGGACUUGUGGAGCGCUUAGAAGUGAGAAUGCCGGUAUGAGUAGCGAAAGAUAGGUGAGAAUCCUAUCCACCGAAUGACUAAGGUUUCCUGGGGAAGGCUCGUCCUCCCAGGGUUAGUCGGGACCUAAGUCGAGGCCGAGAGGCGUAGACGAUGGAUAACAGGUUGAGAUUCCUGUACUAGUUAAGUGCGUUUGAGCAAUGGAGGGACGCAGGAGGCUAAGAUGUGCAUUCUGUUGGAUUAGAAUGUCCAAGCAGUAAGUCUUGUGAAGAGUCAAAUGCUUUUCACUUUAAGGACAAGCUGUGAUGGGGAGCGAAAUUUAGUAGCGAAGCGUCUGAUGUCACACUGCCGAGAAAAGCUUCUAGUGAGUACUUAACUACCCGUACCGCAAACCGACACAGGUAGUCGAGGAGAGAAUCCUAAGGUGAGCGAGUGAACUCUCGUUAAGGAACUCGGCAAAAUGACCCCGUAACUUCGGGAGAAGGGGUGCUGAUCGCAAGAUCAGCCGCAGUGAAUAGGCCCAGGCGACUGUUUAUCAAAAACACAGGUCUCUGCAAAAUCGUAAGAUGACGUAUAGGGGCUGACGCCUGCCCGGUGCUGGAAGGUUAAAAGGAUGGGUUAGCUUCGGCGAAGCUCAGAAUUGAAGCCCCAGUAAACGGCGGCCGUAACUAUAACGGUCCUAAGGUAGCGAAAUUCCUUGUCGGGUAAGUUCCGACCCGCACGAAAGGCGUAACGAUCUGGGCACUGUCUCAACGAGAGACUCGGUGUGAAUUUAUAUUGUCCGUGAAGAUGCGGACUACCCGCGACAGGACGGAAAGACCCCAUGGAGCUUUACUGUAGCUUGAUAUUGAGUGUUUGUACAGCUUGUACAGGAUAGGUAGGAGCCAUAGAAACCGGAACGCUAGUUUCGGUGGAGGCGUUGGUGGGAUACUACCCUCGCUGUAUGACCACUCUAACCCGCACCACUAAUCGUGGUGGGAGACAGUGUCAGGUGGGCAGUUUGACUGGGGCGGUCGCCUCCUAAAAAGUAACGGAGGCGCCCAAAGGUUCCCUCAGAAUGGUUGGAAAUCAUUCGCAGAGUGUAAAGGCACAAGGGAGCUUGACUGCGAGACAGACAGGUCGAGCAGGGACGAAAGUCGGGCUUAGUGAUCCGGUGGUACCGUAUGGAAGGGCCAUCGCUCAACGGAUAAAAGCUACCCUGGGGAUAACAGGCUUAUCUCCCCCAAGAGUCCACAUCGACGGGGAGGUUUGGCACCUCGAUGUCGGCUCAUCGCAUCCUGGGGCUGUAGUCGGUCCCAAGGGUUGGGCUGUUCGCCCAUUAAAGCGGUACGCGAGCUGGGUUCAGAACGUCGUGAGACAGUUCGGUCCCUAUCCGUCGCGGGCGUAGGAAAUUUGAGAGGACCUGUCCUUAGUACGAGAGGACCGGGAUGGACAUACCUCUGGUGUACCAGUUGUGCCGCCAGGCGCAUCGCUGGGUAGCUACGUAUGGAUGUGAUAAACGCUGAAAGCAUCUAAGUGUGAAACACACCUCGAGAUGAGAUUUCCCAUUCCUUUAUGGAAGUAAGACCCCUGAAAGAUGAUCAGGUAGAUAGGUUAGAAGUGGCAGUGCGGUGACGCAUGAAGCGGACUAAUACUAAUCGGUCGAGGACUUAACCAA